GCCCCCGUAGCUCAGAGGAAGAGCAGCUGACUUUUAAUCAGCGGGUCGGGAUGUCGGAAUUCCCCGGGGGCACCA
rnacentral:tRNA from 1 species